rnacentral:rRNA from 1 species
UACGUAGGGGGCAAGCGUUGUCCGGAUUCAUUGGGCGUAAAGAGCGUGUAGGCGGCCAGGUAGGUCGGGUGUGAAAACUCCAGGCUCAACCUGGAGACGCCACCCGAUACUGCCAUGGCUAGAGUCCGGUAGGGGACCACGGAAUUCCUGGUGUAGCGGUGAAAUGCGCAGAUAUCAGGAGGAACACCGGUGGCGAAGGCGGUGGUCUGGGCCGGAACUGACGCUGAGGAGCGAAAGCGUGGGGAGCGAACAGG